rnacentral:rRNA from 1 species
CGUACACUCCUGCGGGAGGCAGCAGUGGGGAAUAUUGGACAAUGGGCGCAAGCCUGAUCCAGCCAUGCCGCGUGAGUGAUGAAGGCCCUAGGGUUGUAAAGCUCUUUUGUGCGGGAAGAUAAUGACGGUACCGCAAGAAUAAGCCCCGGCUAACUUCGUGCCAGCAGCCGCGGUAAUACGAAGGGGGCUAGCGUUGCUCGGAAUCACUGGGCGUAAAGGGUGCGUAGGCGGGUCUUUAAGUCAGGGGUGAAAUCCUGGAGCUCAACUCCAGAACUGCCUUUGAUACUGAAGAUCUUGAGUUCGGGAGAGGGGAGUGGAACUGCGAGUGUAGAGGUGAAAUUCGUAGAUAUUCGCAAGAACACCAGUGGCGAAGGCGGCUCACUGGCCCGAUACUGACGCUGAGGCACGAAAGCGUGGGGAGCAAACAGGAUUAGAUACCCGAGUAGUCCCAUGAU